rnacentral:lncRNA from 1 species
AUUGUCUUUAAAUAUGAUUAAAAAAAAUGGCAUAACAUUUGCAUCAUAUUCAAAUAUCACACGAAAUAAUUUUAAAAAAGUUUCCCUUUAUUUAAUUAACAGGGCAUAACAUGAAAUCAUUCACAAAUAUUCAAACGUGAUGAAAUCGUUCAUCACCUUAUUUGUGACGGAAUAAAACAAAAUGCAGUAAACUCUCUAGUUGCGUCCAUCUCUGAAAAGAACAAAAUAUUUCUAAGACUAAUAUCGGUACUGAAAAUCACUUUCGCACAAGAUCGAAAUCAUAUGGAACCUUGAGAAGUAGAGAGGAUCACCUCAAAAACAGUAUUGUCAGUGUAUGGUGUCUAAAACACAGGACUAGUCACCUGGUGAAGUACAGGUGACAUAAUUUUUAGAAUUCAGGAAGUUACUUGAUGGCAAAAUCUUGAAGAUAUAUAGAUUACAUUGGGAAGCCAGUCAGAACGUUCUCUUCCUUUUUUAAACCUCUUGCUACUGAACAAGGACCAAAAUUCUUAUGCAUAUAUGACAUGUUCUUGUAUUGCCUUCUUUAUAGAUCUUAAUAAAUUUUAAAACAAA